rnacentral:rRNA from 1 species
GACGAACGCUGGCGGCGUGCCUAACACAUGCAAGUCAGGGAGAAAGAGGUAGCAAUAUCUCGAGUAAACCGGCGAACGGGUGAGUAACACGUAGGUAACCUGCCCUCGAGUUGGGAAUAACUUCGAGAAAUCGAGGCUAAUACCGGAUAAUGCAACGAACUCGCAUGGGGUUUGUUGUUAAAGUUCCGCGCAAGCGGAACGCUUGAGGAUGGACCUGCGGCCGAUUAGCUAGUUGGCGGAGUAACAGCCCACCAAGGCGACGAUCGGUAGCCGACCUGAGAGGGUGACCGGCCACACUGGGACUGAGAUACGGCCCAGACUCCUACGGGAGGCAGCAGUGAGGAAUCUUGCGC